AUUGAACGCUGGCGGCAUGCCUUACACAUGCAAGUCGAACGGCAGCACGGGUGCUUGCCCCUGGUUGCGCGUGGCGAACGGGAGUGUUAUCCAUGGGACCAUGUCCUGUAGUGGGGGAUAGCCCGGCAAAGGGCGGUUAUAUCCCGCACACGCUCUGGGGGUGAAAGGGGGGGCCUUUGACCCCACGCGAUCAGGGGAGGCCAGGUCGGAUUAGCUAGUUGGUGGGGUAAAGGCCUACCAAGGCGACGAUCAGUAGCUGGUCUGAGAGGAGGAGCAGCCACACUGGAACUGAGACACGGCCCAGACUCCUACGGGAGGCAGCAGUGGGGAAUAUUGGACAAUGGGCGAAAGCCUGAUCCAGCAAUGCCGCGUGUGUGAAGAAGGCCUUCGGGUUGUAAAGCACUUUUGUCCGGAAAGAAAGCCUUGGCCCUAAUACGGUCGUGUGUUGACGUUACCGGAAGAAUAAGCACCGGCUAACUACGUG
rnacentral:rRNA from 1 species